CCAUAGACUCUUAUUACUUUGACCAUAUUUUUAUCUUCCAUCUCUAUUUUGCCAAUUUGUUUAUACAACAUAGAAUAAUAUAUAUCUUUGUUUAAUCCAUGUCAAUAUAUAUAUUUUAUUUUUUAUAUUAUUUGAAUAAAACAUUCAAAUAAUAUAAACAUCUAAAAACAUAAAAAAUAAAAUCAAUGUUUAAAGUAUAAAAUAAAAACCCUGGCAAUAACCUACUCU
rnacentral:misc_RNA from 1 species